rnacentral:lncRNA from 1 species
GUGCUCUCAUGGCAAGACUGCUAGCAAGCGGCCCUCUUUCUGCAGAAAGUAAACUAGCCUUGCUGAGAGAUCCUUUGUCUCAGUGUUGAUUUUUGUGACACCGAGCACCCAUUCCCAACAAUGGGAUGUGGGGAGCCUUUCUCUCCCUGAGGGGGAGACUUGUGAGCUGAUGGGACUGCUGGACAAGAUCCCUUCACGGCUGACAAGCAGCUGCCUGAACUUCUGAUUCAGUGUCGCCAAGCUGGUUGAGUCUUUCUCCAGCCUGCCAGCCCUCCUUGCCUCCCCCAUCCCUCCUGCAGGCAAUGCUUUUCUCCCUUCCCUUCUUGCUUUCUCUCCUUUUCACUUCCUAACUUUUCUGUCACUUAGGGUGCCUUGUCUCUCCUCUCCUAAUCCUUAGUGGUUUGGGUCACGUGAACAGAUAUCUGUGAGGGACAGGUUGAAAUCGUUGACUACCUGGAUCUGAUCAACUCAGCAGGCAGUGGGACAGAGUGUACCUUUUCCCUGGCCUAAGUUGGUUUGGGUUCCAGUCCCAAGAAACAAUUCUAUCCAUCCCUCCCUCCCUUUCUCCCUCCUUCCCUUUCUUCUUCUUUCCUCUCCCUCUCCCUCCCUUUCUCCCUCCUUCCCUUUCUUCUUCUUUCCUCUCCCUCUCCCUCCCUCUCUCCCUCUAUCGUUUUCCCUCCCUCUUCCUCUCCUUCUCUCUCCCCUUCUCUGUCAUACUGGCCCUCAAUCCUGUAACUCUAUUCAAAACCCCUCACCACUUCACUUUCUCUUUGCCACACCAUGUGAGGAGGGGAAGCCUGUGGACUUUUCUGUCAUCUGUCUGUUUGGGUGUGUGAGUCUAUCAACUUUGGGUGCUGGCUUUUUAAGGAGAGAACUGACAGCACGUGGAACCAAAGUUUGUGUCACUUAUGUCCCAAUGAAUUGUUUUCUUUCUGUGCAUUUAAUUCAAUAUCUUAUUUUCCCAUGCAACCCACUGGUUGGCCUCUUGUAAAAAGGAGAGACUUUUGCCUAUGGUUCCAUGAAAUGGAAAGGGAUCAUUUUCUUUUGUAACGUGGCUUGGCCCCCACAGCUAUGCCACAGGGAGCAAGGUCACCAAAGUUGCUCAGAAAAAGAGAACCCAAAACCGUAGCAUGCCAGCAAAAGGCAUCUCACUCAGUCACCCAGGCUGGAUUACAGUGGUGCCAUCACAGCUCACCACAGCCUUCCGAGUAGCUGGGACUGCAGGCAUGUACCACCAUGCCCAACUAAUUUUAUUUUUGUUUUCUGGUACAGACAGGGUCUCGCUUUGUUGCCCAGGC